CCUACGGGGGGCAGCAGUGAGGAAUAUUGGUCAAUGGACGAGAGUCUGAACCAGCCAAGUAGCGUGAAGGAUGACUGCCCUAUGGGUUGUAAACUUCUUUUAUAUGGGAAUAAAAUGUUCCACGUGUGGGAUUUUGUAUGUACCAUAUGAAUAAGGAUCGGCUAACUCCGUGCCAGCAGCCGCGGUAAUACGGAGGAUCCGAGCGUUAUCCGGAUUUAUUGGGUUUAAAGGGAGCGUAGGUGGAUUGUUAAGUCAGUUGUGAAAGUUUGCGGCUCAACCGUAAAAUUGCAGUUGAAACUGGCAGUCUUGAGUACAGUAGAGGUGUGCGGAAUGCGUGGUGUAGCGGUGAAAUGCUUAGAUAUCACGAAGAACUCCGAUUGCGAAGGCAGUUCACUGGACUGCAACUGACACUGAGGCUCGAAAGUGUGGGUAUCAAACAGGAUUAGAUACCCUGGUAGUC
rnacentral:rRNA from 1 species